rnacentral:rRNA from 1 species
UACAGAGACUGCAAGCGUUAUUCGGAUUCACUGGGCGUAAAGGGUGCGCAGGUGGCCAAGUGUGUGAGGCGUGAAAGCCCGUUGCUCAACAGCGGAAUUGCACCUCAAACUACAUGGCUAGAGCAUUGGAGAGGGGAGCAGAAUUCACGGUGUAGCAGUGAAAUGCGUAGAUAUCGUGAGGAAUACCAGAGGCGAAGGCGGCUCCCUGGACAAUUGCUGACACUCAGGCACGAAAGCGUGGGGAGCAAAAGGG